GAUGCAGCGACGCAGCGUGCGGGAUGACGGCCUUCGGGUUGUAAACCGCUUUCAGCAGGGAAGAAGCSCAAGUGACGGUACCUGCAGAAGAAGUACCGGCUAACUACGUGCCAGCAGCCGCGGUAAUACGUAGGGUACGAGCGUUGUCCGGAAUUAUUGGGCGUAAAGAGCUCGUAGGUGGUUGGUCACGUCUGCUGUGGAAACGCAACGCUUAACGUUGCGCGUGCAGUGGGUACGGGCUGACUAGAGUGCAGUAGGGGAGUCUGGAAUUCCUGGUGUAGCGGUGAAAUGCGCAGAUAUCAGGAGGAACACCGGUGGCGAAGGCGGGACUCUGGGCUGUAACUGACACUGAGGAGCGAAAGCAUGGGGAGCGAACAGGAUUAGAUACCCUGGUAGUCCAUGCCGUAAACGUUGGGCACUAGGUGUGGGGGGCAUUCCACGUUCUCCGCGCCGUAGCUAACGCAUUAAGUGCCCCGCCUGGGGGAGUACGG
rnacentral:rRNA from 1 species